rnacentral:rRNA from 1 species
AUUGAACGCUGGCGGCAGGCCUAACACAUGCAAGUCGAACGAGAGGAGGACGGGUGAGUAAUGACUGGGAAACUGCCUGAGGGAGGGGGAUAACUACUGGAAACGGUAGCGAAUAGCGCAUACCAUCGGAUGUGCCCGGAUUGGAUUAGCUAGGAGGUGGGGUAACGGCCUACCUAGGCGACGAGCCCUAGCUGGUCGGAGAGGAUGACCAGCCACACUGGAACUUAGACACGGUCCAGACUCCUACGGGAGGCAGCAGUGGGGAAUAUUGCACAAUGGGCGAAAGCCUGCUGCAGCCAUGCCGCGUGUGUGAAGAAGGCCUUCGGGUUGUAAAGUACUUUCAGCGGGGAGGCGUUACCCGCAGAAGAAGCACCGGCUAACUCCGUGCCAGCAGCCGCGGUAAUAC